UACAUUGUCGUUGUCAUGGAAAAGACAAAUUUUAGAGACGUGUUGUGCUUACUAUAAUUUGAAGCUGAAAUCAUCUUGUGAAAAUGGUUUAAAAGGAGAACUACGUAAAGAUAUUCGGAUAAAAAUGACGUCUUUCGUUAUUUGGUUAUCGUUAUUCACUCUCUUGCUAACAGAUGCAGCAUCGGUAAAGAAGAAGCCAGGRUGUUUGUUUGAGAACAAGUUCUUUGAGGUUGGGUCUAUCUUCUCUAAUGAGCUCUGUGAUCAGAAGUGUAGCUGUUUGGGUACCAYUGGACUCUACAUGUAUAUAUGCCAACCAUUAUGCUCGCAGUACUCGUCAGAAUGCGUCGGAAAAGCACUUCGCUAUAAUAAAAUACAGCCUGGACUGCCUUACUACAACUGUACAUGUAUAGAAGCGGUGUGUGAUGUGUCUGUGAAAGAGCCUUUCGAAUACUAAUGUUAUAAAGUCACUAGUUUGGACUACUUUCAUUUUCUGGCUCCAGAAAGUAUUUAUUGUAAAAUAUAUGUAAUAUAUACAACACAAUUCCUCGUUUUGUUAAAAUGUUUCCACUGAAAUAAAUAAAUUUGGUAAAAACUGGCAAAAAAAAACAACAAACAAACCGCUGGCAAAAAAAAACAACAACAAACAAACCGCAGACGAACAUGGUGAGCAAAAGGCGACGGUGCAUUCACUAAAACGUCUCAGUAAAACCAGUAAAACGAUCCUGAAACUGGCAAGUUUUUACUACCGAAAUCCUAUGAUAAAACGAUAUAAAUGAAAAGAAAAAACGUGAAAAAAU